rnacentral:pre_miRNA from 1 species
AAUAAACGAAUUUAUGUGUUUUUUAAGAAAUUUUGACUCUUCGUCUUAUUUGAAAAAAAUUUAUGAUUAAUAUUUUUAUUGUUACUAUAUGAUAAAACAUAAAUAAUAGUUUACGUGUGACUAAUAUUUUUAAUUUUUUAAUAAAUGUUCAAAUAACAUGGAUGGUCAAACGUUCGAUAAAAAACCC